GUUAAGCGACUAAGCGUACACGGUGGAUGCCCUGGCAGUCAGAGGCGAUGAAGGACGUGCUAAUCUGCGAUAAGCGUCGGUAAGGUGAUAUGAACCGUUAUAACCGGCGAUUUCCGAAUGGGGAAACCCAGUGUGUUUCGACACACUAUCAUUAACUGAAUCCAUAGGUUAAUGAGGCGAACCGGGGGAACUGAAACAUCUAAGUACCCCGAGGAAAAGAAAUCAACCGAGAUUCCCCCAGUAGCGGCGAGCGAACGGGGAGCAGCCCAGAGCCUGAAUCAGUGUGUGUGUUAGUGGAAGCGUCUGGAAAGGCGCGCGAUACAGGGUGACAGCCCCGUACACAAAAAUGCACAUGCUGUGAGCUCGAUGAGUAGGGCGGGACACGUGGUAUCCUGUCUGAAUAUGGGGGGACCAUCCUCCAAGGCUAAAUACUCCUGACUGACCGAUAGUGAACCAGUACCGUGAGGGAAAGGCGAAAAGAACCCCGGCGAGGGGAGUGAAAAAGAACCUGAAACCGUGUACGU
rnacentral:rRNA from 1 species